rnacentral:lncRNA from 1 species
GCCCGGGGCUGCGGGCUGAGCCCGACGGAUGGGUGGGUGCACAGAUUACAGGUCUGGAGGUCUGGAUUAGUGACGGAGCGCCUGCCGUGUUCCCCAGGACCGCGCUGUGCAGGGAGGAGCUUCCGGGCGAUGCUAAGGCCCGGGUUGUGGCCGAGCUCCUGCAUAGUUCACCGUAACCCAGGUGCAGAGCAUUCAGUCUACUACUUUCCGCCUCCCACCCGGGGCGCAGGAGCCUGGGCUCGGCAUCCCGGGGGGAGCGAGCGCAUCGUGACCUUGAGGAGGUGGCGAUCCGAGGGCGUGGACCCGGGCCAGCUAAACGCCGACCGCUUGAGGGUGCAACGACAGAGUGAUGCAGAGGAGGAGAAGCGAGGUUUCAAGGUGAACACGCCGCGUGACCUGAAGUCUGCUAACUUGGCCAGAGCACCCCGUGUUGGGUAGCACCAGAGCUGGGCUUGAACGCUUUUCUGCAGCUUUGGUAAUAAUCACCCUUGUAGUGGGUGACUACGCUCUGCUUGCAGCUGCUGUUCCUCUUCCUCUUCUCUUUCCUGGUCCCACAGCAUCCUAACUCCCUUUGACUUGUCUGGGCCAUUUCCUGCUCCAGGAAACACACCUUUAACCACCAGAUUCUCCCAGACGGCCAGGCGCACCCAAUACAAAACCACCAGGACCUAAGGUGCAGAAGGUCCUCUGUCAAGUGUUAUUCUCAGCCUGUACCCCCACACCCAGCAUUCAGGAAGCUGAGACCCAGGGGUCAUGAGUUCCAGGCCAGGUUGGGCUACAAGGCAAGACCAUGUCUCAAGAGAAAACUGAAAUACACCCUGGGCAUCCCAAUCUCAAGGUCUUCAGC